UGAAUCAUUUUUAAUAACGUAUGUGACGUUGAACUUUCUAUGAAUUUUCCGUAUUUAGAAUCGUCGAUGGACGUGUGUAAUUGAUUCCAAAAACGUGAAGAAAGUGAAUACGGUUUCAUCACGCGAUGCGUGUGAAUACGAUUCGCUCGGCAAACUUCUUAACGAUAUCAGCCUGAUUACGAUACGUUCGGAAAGAGGUCGGAGGUGCCAAAGGGUAGAAAAUUAAGGGGCACCUUCAACAGUAAUCGAAAUGAAUAAAAAUGAUUCCCCAUGAUCGAGAUUUGUGUAAAAUUUCUCCACGGAAUCUUCACUCGGUUCGAUUAUUCAAAAAACUAUGUUGUGAUAAAAAUUGACAGGUAUACUUGAGAAAAUAUUUGGGAUUAAAAUUUUUAAUCAAAGUGGAAUCGGGAGAGUGGGAAAUCAUCGGGAAUAGAUAGGCGUACGUGAAUACGCGCGCGUCGAUACCUUUUGAAAUAAUCAAGGUGUCCCUCGGCGACAUACGAUACCCGGAAGAAAUAUUAUCUUACCAAACGGAAUCGCCACUGCUUCAACACCCCGAGUUUCUAAAUAGCACAGUUCGCAUGCAGGAUUACGACGUCACGGAUACACCGAGUUUCUUGCGCGUAUAUUCACGCGUGAUAAAGCCGAUCGAACGCGGAAUAUCUGUGCGGCGUACGCAUACGAUAUGCAGAUAACGCGUUGUUCAUGCCGCCACCCCUACAUAACACGAACCCCGACGAGGACUGAGAGGUACAAGGUCGUAACCCUCGCUUUAUUUUGGUCAUGGAUCAUUACGUUGGCAGAAGGGCGUGAUCCUCAGAUAUUUGAAGGAAUUGAACACGUUAAACGAUCGCAGCAAAAAAAAAUUUCAACUCUUCGAAAUCGCUCGGAAUUAUCCGACGCAUCCCCUCAAAAAUUGAACAAUUUUUCGAACCGAGUUCAAUUCGAACUCACAUUUUUGUUUCGGAAUUUUAAAUUUGCUCACGUUUUUUGGUGACUCUCGAUAUUUUCACCCCCCAUGAACAGGUGUGAUGCCCGAGCAGUUGGAAUAAGAGGAACGUAUGAAGUUAUAAACUCGUUCCCCCCUCCAGGUAACGAAAUUAUUCGAGUGGUGCAGCAGCGAUAUACCGUAUACGUUAUUACAUUAAAGGAAUAACGUGCAACCCCAACAUUCCAUAAAUUCUUACUAAAUUCGUCCCUUAGCUUGUGCGAUUAUUCCAUGCGCUGUUCAUUUCACGAACUCGAUGAUCACAUUUCGCAUUAUACUAUAAUUUUGCACUUUGAGUCUUCCAUUCCAGAAAACGUCCUGCGAUUAACAAAAUAUAUUUUUAAUUUACCCAAUCCGAUCUAGAGAACCUUGAACUUUGUUGUAAAAUUUCAAAGGUCAAAGCAGAGAAUCGAUUAUACCGCACGUUGACGACGAAAGAGAUAAGUUUGCCUGAUCCCGGUUGAAAAAGGUGAAGAAGGAAGAAAAAAAAUCGUCACGUGGGUUCAACCGUUCGGGAACUUCUUCCUCGAGUUUGAAUAUUUCGGAGCUUGAAAGUCGUCACGCAACUUUUUACAGCAUAACGUUUCGACCGAGCUUCUUCUGUUCCGGGGGCAAUUCGAGUCACGAACAAUGGCAAUUUUAGUUUACGUCGGAUAAAAUAUUUGAUAAUAGGAAAUGAUUUUUCAAACGUUUACAACUCGCGGCCACCUGAUCAGCCGAAUAUUUGAGGAAAUAUUGAGCCGUGAUAAGACGAUAUUCAUCACUUCCCACAUCGUCGUGUCGAAUGUAUAAGUAUACAAAGAGACUACGGUCGACAUUCUCAUGGGGCAUUGGAUUCCCGGGUAUCUUUCUGACAGUCCAUGAAUCGAAUUGAUUUAUUUUUAUUACCCUCAAUCUUCCGGAUAGGUUGAACAUAUCUGGUAUUCAAAGUCGAUAUUUGUAUUGUAGAAAUCGAAUCGCUGUGAGUCACCCUGUAUUCGUAACUCGGUUGUCAACAUCCUUCUAUAUCGGAAGGAAACGUGAAUCCAAUUAAAGAGAACAGCGGCGACUGGAUACGAAUAAUCCAAAGCUCUUCACGAAUCAAAUUUCAUUCCGCCUAUGUAUGAUCGAUCCUUCCAAACCACAGAGAAAAUGAAUGAACAAAUUGACAAAAAAAGCAGAUUCAAUUAUACAUUUUUCAGAGUGAAGAUUUCACUACCUGAAACAGUCGCUCGAACGGUUGAAAAGAGAAUGGAUUUUUGGUGAAAAAUAAAUAUUUCGCUUUAUAUGCUAUUCUUGUGUAUUUUGAUC